rnacentral:sRNA from 2 species
UGCAUCUGAGGCCUGCGAGGAUGAGAACCUCCGGGGACAGGAGGUUCGACUCGAGCGAAGCGAGAGAACGUUGCGUUAACAACGGCCCGCAGGGCGAGCCACGAAGUGGUGAGUCAUCCUCUAUCACCGACCA